rnacentral:rRNA from 1 species
GACGAACGCUGGCGGCGUGCUUAACACAUGCAAGUCGUGCGGUAAGGCCCUUUCGGGGGUACACGAGCGGCGACCGGGUGAGUAACACGUGAGCAACCUGCCCUUCCCUCUGGGAUAACUGCCGGAAACGGUGGCUAAUACCGGAUAUGACUUCCUCACGCAUGUGGGGUGGUGGAAAGCCUUCGGGUGGUGGGGGAUGGGCUCGCGGUCUAUCAGCUUGUUGGUGGGGUGAUGGUCUACCAAGGCUUCGACGGGUAGCCGGCACGGGAGGGUGACCGGCGACACUGGGACUGAGAGAGGGAGCAGACGGGUACGGGAGGCAGCAGUGGGGAAUAUUGGACAAUGGGCGAGAGCCUGAUCCAGCAACGCCGCGUGAGGGAUGACGGCCUUCGGGUUGUAAACCUCUUUCGCCUGCGACGAAGCGAGAGUGACGGUAGCAGGUAAAGAAGCACCGGCCAACUACGUG